AGCAGCCGCGGUAAUUCCAGCUCCAAUAGCGUAUAUUAAAGUUGUUGCAGUUAAAAAGCUCGUAGUUGAAUUUCGGGGUCAGUAGGUCGGUCGUGCCACUGGUAUGAACUGGUUUUACUGAUUCCUCCCUCUUGAAGAACUGUAAUGCCAUUAAUUUGGUGUUGCAGGGAAUCAGGACUGUUACUUUGAAAAAAUUAGAGUGUUUAAAGCAGGCUUUAGCUUGAAUACAUUAGCAUGGAAUAAUAAAAUAGGACGUUUGAUCCUAUUUUGUUGGUUUCUAGGAUUGACGUAAUGAUUAAUAGGGAUAGUUGGGGGCAUUAGUAUUCAAUUGUCAGAGGUGAAAUUCUUGGAUUUAUUGAAGACUAACUACUGCGAAAGCAUUUGCCAAGGAUGUUUUCAUUAAUCAAGACGAAAGUUAGGGGAUCGAAGACGAUCAGAUACCGUCGUAGUCCUAACCAUAAACUAUGCCGACUAGGGAUCGGAUGAUGUUAAUUUUUUAAUGACUCAUUCGGCGCCUUAC
rnacentral:rRNA from 1 species